rnacentral:pre_miRNA from 1 species
UCUUAUGGAUGAACAAAGAAAGUGAUUUCUUAAUAUAGAAAGUAAUUUUGGUGCAGAUGCUGUGAA